AACGAGCGUUAGCGCCGCGCCUAACACAUGCACGUCGAACUCGACACGGGCAACUCUGUUGAGUGGCGCACGGGUGAGUAACACGUGGGUAAUCUCCCCUCGAUUGGUGGAUAACCUUCCGUAAGGAGGGCUAAUACAGCAUAAGACCACGGCCUCGAAAGAGGCUGAGGUCCAAGCGGAGGAUCGCAAGCCUUCCCGCUUGAGGAUGAGCCUGCGGCCCAUCAGGUAGUUGGCGGGGUGAUAGCCCACCAAGCCUAGGACGGGUAGCUGGUCUGAGAGGAUGAUCAGCCACACUGGAACUGAGACACGGUCCAGACUCCUACGGGAGGCAGCAGUGGGGAAUCUUGCGCAAUGGACGAAAGUCUGACGCAGCGACGCCGCGUGGGUGAUGAAGGCCUUCGGGUUGUAAAGCCCUGUGGGGAGGGACGAAUAAGUUGCAGCUAAUACCUGCAGCGAUGACGGUACCUCCUUAGCAAGCACCGGCUAACUCUGUGCCAGCCGCCGCUGUAAAAC
rnacentral:rRNA from 1 species